GCAUGGCUGUCGUCAGCUCGUGUCGUGAGAUGUUGGGUUAAGUCCCGCAACGAGCGCAACCCUUGUCCUUAGUUGCUACGCAAGAGCACUCUAAGGAGACUGCCGGUGACAAACCGGAGGAAGGUGGGGAUGACGUCAAGUCCUCAUGGCCCUUAUGGGUAGGGCUUCACACGUCAUACAAUGGUCGGUACAGAGGGCUGCCAAACCGCGAGGUGGAGCUAACCCCAGAAAACCGAUCGUAGUCCGGAUCGCAGUCUGCAACUCGACUGCGUGAAGCUGGAAUCGCUAGUAAUCGCGGAUCAGCAUGUCGCGGUGAAUACGUUCCCGGGU
rnacentral:rRNA from 1 species